GACGAACGCUGGCGGCGUGCUUAACACAUGCAAGUCGAACGAUGACGACCGAGCUUGCUCGGUCUGAUUAGUGGCGAACGGGUGAGUAACACGUGAGCAACCUGCCCUUCACUCUGGGAUAACCUCGGGAAAUCGGGGCUAAUACCGGAUAUGAGCUCCUGUCGCAUGGCGGGUGUUGGAAAGUUUUUCGGUGAAGGAUGGGCCCGCGGCCUAUCAGUUUUUUGGUGAGGUAGUGGCGCACCAAGGCGAUGACGGGUAGCCGGCCUGAGAGGGCGACCGGCCACGCUGGGACUGAGACACGGCCCAGACUGCUACGGGAGGCAGCAGUGGGAAAUAUUGCACAAUGGGCGAAAGCCUGAUGCAGCGACGCCGCGUGAGGGAUGACGGCCUUCGGGUUGUAAACCUCUUUCAGCAGGGAAGAAGCGAAAGUGACGGUACCUGCAGAAGAAGCGCCGGCUAACUACGUG
rnacentral:rRNA from 1 species